rnacentral:rRNA from 1 species
GAGUACCUUCUUGUUAACUAGGUACCCUUCUUCUGAAAUUCACUGUUAUGAGUUGAACAAGAUGCAUGCGUAUGCUAGAAGCAAUAAAUGCAAACCCAUGAAUGUAUUGAAAAGUCCUCAGCAACUGAGCAUAGAAAGAAAUAGAAGAUACCAUUUCCUAGGCUAUUACUAUAGUUUCCUAUCCUUUAGCAAACAAACGUUUCCUUCACUGUGCUAUAUUGUACUGUCAAAACAUCUGAUUUGUUUUUUGAAAGUUGCUGAUUUGUUCUUCACCCCGAAGAAGUGUUCUCCUGUUCCCUUCCUCCAAUUCCCCUCCCGGGCUCCUGUGCUAAUCUCAAAUAUAAGUUGACAGGGCUCUGUAAAAAAGUGAGGGAUUGUAUAAGUAAAACUCUAACUGGGAUUUUUGUAUACCCACAAUACUUUUGGUUGAGCUAAGAUAGGCAGGAGUCAAGGUUUUCUGGUAAAUAUCUGAAUGUGGCCUGGGGCGGAGUUCGAGUCAUACGGCUUAAGUGUGGUAGAGUCAAGAAUAGGAUCCUGGGUGGGGAGGGAAGAUAAUUUAGUGUGCAGACAUAUCUUAGUUAUAUCUUCUGUUCAAGGAGCCACUUUUUCAUAUUCAUUUUUAACCUCGUGUCAGUGUAUUCUAUUUUUAGAGUUUUUAGGUUUUUAAGGUCAAGCUUGCAUAGUAGGGCAAUGUCAAUAGCUUACCAGAGUAUCAAGUAUAAUUUUGCUUCAUUUUGAGAGAAAGCAAAUAUUAGGUACCUGCUGUGGUUUGUGCCUUAUUAAAUCUUAUUUGAAGUGAUAGGAAUUGUCAGUGUAAGCUGCUAAAAUUCUUCUGAGCAGCGCCCAGAAGGAAGCUGGGAAAGCGUACAUGGGCACAGCUUAGAGGGAACAUUGGUCCUGAUGUGCAAAUCGGUCCCCCGACCUGGGUAUAGGGGCAAAAGAUUAAUCAAACCAGCCGGUUCCCUCCGAAGUUUCCCUCAGGAUAGCUGGCACACAGAAACCCCAGUUUUAUCUUGUAAGCGAAUGAUUAGAGCUCUUGGGGCUGAAAUGAUCUCAACCUAUUCUCAAACUUUGAAUGGGUAAGAAGCCGGCUUGCAGGGGUGCAGCCGGGCAUCGAAUGCAAGUGACCAGUGGGCUACUUUUGGUAAGCAGAACUGACGCUGUGGGAUGAACUGAACUCUGGGUUAAGACACCCGAUGCGACACUCAUCAGACCCCAGAAAAGGUGUUGGUUGAUAUAUGGAAGUCAGAAUCCGCUAAGGAGUAUGAUAUGAUAUCAUAGGUUAUUUAUAAUGCGCUUAAUACCCAGAGGUUUCCAAGUGCAGACCCUGGGAUCGAACCUGUGUUGCUCUGUGUCGUCUUGCUUCCAAGGCAAGCACAUUGCCCCUAAACUAUCCUCCCGAGGUGAUGUAACAACUCACCUGCUGAAUCAACUAGCCCUGAAAAUGAAUGUCGCUGGAGCGUCUGGGCCUUAUCCGGCUGGCGCUGAGAGCCUCGGGGGGGGGGGCUAAGCCACAACGAGUAGGAGGGCCGCUGCGGUGCGCACAGAAGCCCGGGGCGAGUGCCCGGAUGAAGCCGCUGCAGGUGCAGAUCUUGGUGGUAGCAAAUAUUCAAACGAAAACUUUGAAGCCCGAAGUGGAGAAGGGUUCCAUGUGAACAGCAGUUGAACAUGGGCCAGUCGGUCCUAAGAAAUGGUUGAGUGCCGUUCGGAAGGGAUGACGAUGGCCUCCGUUGCUCUCAGCCGAUCGAAAGUGAGUCUGGUUCGGAUCCCUGAACCUGGAGUGGCGGAGACGGGUACCCUCGCGGCAUCCAUUGCGAGAACGCAAACGAUCCCAGAGAAGCUGGCAGGAUCCCCAAGGAGAGUUCUAUUUUCUUUGUGAAGGGCUGGGCACCCUGGAAUGGGUUCUCCCCGAGAGAGCAGCCCGAGCCUUGAAAAGCGUUGCAGUUCCAGCAGCGUCCAGUGAGCUCUCGCUGGUCCAUGAAAAUCUGGGGAGAUGGUGUAAAUCUCGCGCCGGGCCGUACCCAUAUCCGCAGCAGUUCUCCAAAGUAAACACUCUCUGGCAUGUUGGAACAAUGUAGGUAAGGGAAGUUGGCUGGUGGGAUCCGUAAUUUCAGGACGGACUGGGGUACAAAGCGGGGCUGGGCGCGCGCUGCGGCUGGAUGAGGCGUCUCCCGACUCUGCAUGUGAGCCAGGCCCUUCCUGUGGAUCGCCCCAGCUGCAGUGUUCGCCUCUCUCUGUUCCCCUCCCGGGGUUUGGCCCGGUGUUCUGCCUCGGCCGACGCCUAGCAGCUGACUUGCAACUCGUGCGGACCAGGGGAGGAAUCCGACUGUUAAAUUAAAACAAAGCAUUGCGUAAGGCCCACAGUCGGUGUUGACACAAUUUCUGCCCAGUGCUCUGAAUGUCAAAGUGAAGAAAUUCAAUGAAGUACGGGUAAACGGCGAGAGUAACUAUAACUCUCUUAAGGUAGCCAAAUGCCUUGUCAUCUAAUUAGUGAUGCACAUGAAGGGAUGAACAAGAUUUCUACUAUCUAGCGAAACCACAACCAAGGGAACAGGCUUGGCAGAAUCAGCCGGGACAGAAGACCCUGGUGAAAUUCACUCUUGUCUUGCACUGUGACGAUACAUGAGGUGUAGGAUAAUUGGGAAGCCCUUGGGCCGUGGGUGAAAUACCACUACUCUUAUCGUUUUUUCACUUAUCCAGUGAGGUGGGUGGAGCCCUGUGGGACUCUCGCUUCUGGCUCCAAGCGCCCGCUGGGCGCGACACAUUCCAGGGACUGUAGCAGGUAGGUAGUUUGACUGGGGCAGUACACCUCGCAAACCAUAACACAGGUGUCCUAAGGCGAGCUCAGGGAGCACAGAAAUCUCCCACGGAGCAGAAGGGCAAAAGCUUGCUUGAUCUCACAUUUUCUUUUUUCUAGUAUGAAUACAGACUGAAAGCGGGGCCUCAGGAUCCUUCUGACUUUUGGGUUUCAAGCAGGAGGUGUCCGAAAAGUUAACAGAAGGAUAACUGGCUUUUGGCGGCCAAGCGUUCAUAGCGACGUCGCUUUUUGAUCCUUCGAUGUUGGCUCUUCCUAUCAUUGUGAAGCAGAAUUCACCAAACGUUGGAUUGGUCACCAACUAAUGGGGAACAUGAGCUGGGUUUAGACAGCCUUGAGACAGGUUAGUUUUACCCUACUGAUGAUGUGUUGUUGCAAUAGUAAUCCUGCUCAGUAUGAGAGAAACCACAGGUUCAGACAAUUGGCAGCAACCAGAAGAAAACUUCACUGGCUACCAGUCCAACAGCAUAUACAAUUUAAAUGCUCCGUUAUGAUCUUAAAGUGCGUAGCUGGUACUGCCCCUAGCUAUCUUGUGAAAAAACAAAUUAAGGCCCCUGUCCGAAGAAAUCUCUGAUCUAACAAUAAACAUAACCUACAUCAACCACGUAAAAUCUUGGGA